rnacentral:SRP_RNA from 1 species
GCCGGGCAUGGUGGCGCGUGCCUGUAAUCCCAGCUACUCAGGAGGCUGAGGCAGGAGAAUCACUUGAACCGGGAGGCAGAGGUUGCAGUGAGCCUAGACUGCACCACUGCACUCCAGCCCGGGUGACAGAGCGAGACUCUGUCUUUU